rnacentral:rRNA from 1 species
ACCUAUCAGCUUGACUGUAGUGUAGUGGACUACAGUGGCCUUUACGGGUAACAGAGGAUCAGGGUUCGACUCUGGAGAGGGAGCCUGAGAAACGGCUACCAUGUCUAAGGACAGCAGCAGGCGCGCAAAUUGCCCAAUGCUAACACGAGCGAGGCAGCGACGAGAAGUAUUUACUUCGUUACACUUUGUGUGACGUAGAUAGAAAUGGAUGGCAUCCAAAACCACCACUGAGGAUCGAUCGAGGGCAAGUCUGGUGCCAGCAGCCGCGGUAAUUCCAGCUCCGAGAGCGUAUACUGAUGCUGUUGCCGUUAAAACGCUCGUAGUUCGAUUAGAAGAAGCCUUGGUUUGUCUGUCAGUGUACAUCGUCCGCGUUUACAUUCGAUGCAAGCUGUGUGGGUUACUUCUGCUUUGGUGACUCGUGGUUGAAGUCUCAUUCAUUUGAGAUGGAGAUCGCUACGCGGGUACCAUUGUCGAUACCGAAAACAAAACAGCGUGUUCAAAGCAGUCUAGGGACCGAAUGAUUCAGUUUGGGAUAUCAGAGGAUGGAGCGUUCAAGCUAUCUUUGUUGGUUUCUCAGUUUGGAUCGCGGAAUUGAUUGGACGCUUGCCCUGCGUGUCCUAUCUACUUGAGGGUUUUCGGACUCAACAUGGUGUUAGGCUCGUACGGGAACGUUCAGUCCUUCUGAAUUAACAGAGGCGACGGGGACUGUAUCUAUUGGAAGGCGAGGGGUGAAAUCCUUAGACCCUUCCAAGAGAAACGACAGCGAAGGCAUUCAGUAAUGGCGCCUUCAUUAAUCGAGAACGAGAGUGCAGGGAUCGAAGAUGAUCAGAUACCGUCGUAGUCUGCCACUGUAAACGAUGCGAACUCGGGACCGGAUUGGGUUUUCUUCUGAUGACAUUUCCGGGACCUCUCUUCCUCUCCUUCGGGAAACCAUUAAGUGUCUGCGUUCGGGGGGAAGUGCGGUCGCAAGGCUGAAACUUAAAGGAAUUGACGGAACGACACCACAAGGCGUGGAUGCUGCGGCUUAAUUUGACAACGCGGGAAACCUUACCAGGUCAGGACGCACGGCGGAUUGACAGAUUAAAAGCUCUUUCUUGAUUGUGUGUAUGGUGGUGCAUGGCCGCUCCUAGUUCGUAGGGUGACUCGUCUGGUUAACUCCGAUAACGAACGAGAUCCCGACCUCUCAUUGUCUGCAGGAUCGAUUGUAGGUUUGACCUUCCUUUCGAGGUUUGGAAAGGCUGAGAUGUCUGUAGAAAAGUCAGAGGGACGGCGCAUGUCGACAAUGCGCGGAAGAGCGGGCCAAUAGCAGGUCUGUGAUGCUCCUAGAUGUCCUGGGCUGCACGCGGCAUACAAUGAUCGUGGUAACAAGCUUGGUUUGUUUGAGCUCCUUACAAGACAUUGUUGGGGAACCUUUUCAAUCACGAUCGUAGUUGGGAUAGAUGCUUGCAACUAUUUGCCUUGAACCAGGAAUGCCUUGUAGGCGCACUUCAGCAAGGUGCACCGAAUACGUCCCUGCCGUUUGUACACACCGCCCGUCGCUGCAACCGAUUGGUUGACUAAUAGAACGGUUCUGGAGAGGCACCAUUCAGUCCUCGGAAUGUUCGGAGUAUCGAAGUUCUGUGAUAUCUGUCAACUAGAGGAUGCAGAAGUCGUAACAAGGUU